rnacentral:rRNA from 1 species
UACGUAGGUGGCAAGCGUUGUCCGGAUUUACUGGGCGUAAAGAGCGCGCAGGCGGUCGUUCAAGUCGCGUGUGAAAGCCCCCGGCUCAACUGGGGAGGGUCACGCGAUACUGAUCGACUCGAAGGCAGGAGAGGGUAGUGGAAUUCCACGUGUAGCAGUGAAAUGCGUAGAGAUGUGGAGGAACACCGAUGGCGAAGGCAGCCCCCCUGGGUUAACACUGACGCUCAGGCACGAAAGCGUGGGGAGCAAACAGG